CCAAGAUGUAGCACUUAAUAAAGCAGCCAUAAUGGUCCUAAACCUGUCCCUUGAAAACUUUCCUUGCUGUGUAAUGAUGAUAAAUCACAGAGUACUUACCAGCUCAUGGGGUCAGGUCUCAGCUGCUUGUGAAGGGCAACAGAGAAUCCGAAAAAACUCCCCUUUUCCCCGUCUUUUAUGAUUGUGUUUUUGACAUCCAGAUUAAAGGCACUGAUGGUGUCUAUAGCCAGCAGGCUGAGGUAGGUCAGUAGGAGCCAUGCUGCAGGCAUGCUGCAGAUUGGUGGGUGUGGAGGUUUGGGAGAAGAAUAAAGCAGGGCUUCCCUCUUCCCACUGCCAGCUGAGUCCAGGACAAGGUCACUUGCUUGACUUCACCUCCCCAGGUCCUGUCACCCACACGCUGUCAUAGAAGGGAGUGAGGCUGUGACCAGGCUGAGCUCUGCCUUCACACAGGAUAAGCCCCCCUUGUCUGUCAGAGCACAGGAUCCCAGGCAGCAAAGAGAGGGGAAGGGGGAGGAGGGAGCAGGUGGAAGGAGAUCUGAGAGGAGCAGACACCAGCCUCUCCAGUGGCAUCGAUUCCCAGCCGACUGAUGAUCAUUACAGAGAUGUUACAGAGCACUCAGGGGGGAGGAUGCCUCACACGAUGCUGAGGUCAUUUCUCACUGCUGCUGAGUGUGAGCUCACAGUGUUAGUAGCAGUGGUGUGGUGGUUCCUGCUGAGUGGCAGGGGGUGUGUGGUUAUAAA